AUGGCCAUUUCUACCCCACUGUCGUUGUUGUUGGCGCUGCUUAGAGGUGAUGGCUCGCUGCUACAUGACGAGUGGCCACCAGGACUGGACUGAUAUGUCUGGAGGAGGACAGCAAGAAAGAACUUAAUCCAGCAAACAACAGAACUGCGCAUCAAAGCCAACAUCUGCUAAGGAGUGGGACAGGCUGGAUAUUCCGCUGAGUCUCCGCUGGUUAAAUUGUUUACUGCGACUCGUCUGCAUCCUGUCCUUGGAAGGAGGCCGCUGGGGAUGGCCGGUGUCAAGGCCGCACACUCCGUCUGGAGAAAGAUUCAUCCUCCUGGAGACGUGACCUUGAAACUAUAUUGUAAAAGUUUAUUUCUUCAUAAAUGUUUAUAGAAUUCCUCCGCCUCUGCUGCAAACCUUAACCGCUGACUGGGCAGGAUAGUGUGGUAUUGUUUCUGGAUGUGACCAUUGUAUUUAAAAAGUUCAGUUCAUUUCACUUAGUUCAUCCCCUUGCUGGCAGAUGAUAUGUAUGAAUAAGUCUUUCUCUAUGUGCCCCAGAGCUCUCAGUGAUUAGGCUAAUUGCUAAAUGCUAGCAGAGGCUUGUGAGCAGCAGCAGUGAAACCUUAGAUCUGUAAUUACAAGAAACAGCGUUUCCCUCAGGAAGAAUUGCACUGAUGGCAAAAAUCAAUUUCCUCAUCUUGUUUUCUGGGGAAGCUACAACACAAUUACACCAGGCAUUAAUUGCAAAGACACUCAUUGUCCACUGGAACGCUCAGGCUGAGACACAACUGAACGGUGGGCCAUUAGAGUUGGCGUCAAAAACAUUUAAUAAAACACACUUAUGUUCUCCCAGGAGGGAUUAAUGUCGAUGCAAACUUUUCAAAGUGUAUAUUGUUUUAGAUAUUCUCGGCUGAUGCCUGGGUGACUGCAGACAUGCACUUCUCAUCAUGGGUGAGUGGGAUUUUUUUGCUCCGUGCAGCGCUUUGAUUAAUUCUUUUCCUCCAGCAGUGUUUCUA